GGGCCCGCACAAGCGGUGGAGUAUGUGGUUUAAUUCGAAGCAACGCGCAGAACCUUACCUGGCCUUGACAUCCUGAGACAAUCUUAGAGAUAAGACUUUCACUUCGGUGACUCAGUGACAGAUGCUGCAUGGCUGUCGUCAGCUCGUGUUGUGAAAUGUUCGGUUAAGUCCGGCAACGAGCGCAACCCUUGUCUUUAGUUGCUACCAUUAAGUUGGGCACUCUAGAGAGACUGCCGGUGUUAAGCCGGAGGAAGGCGGGGAUGACGUCAAGUCCUCAUGGCUCUUACGGCCAGGGCUACACACGUACUACAAUGGCAGAAACAGACGGCUGCGAAACCGCGAGGUCAAGCUAAUCCGUAAAACACUGUCCCAGUCCGGAUUGGAGUCUGCAACUCGACUCCAUGAAGUUGGAAUCGCUAGUAAUCGC
rnacentral:rRNA from 1 species